AAUCCUCGGAAGCCGAGUGCUGGAGGCGGCCGAGAAGCUGUCAGGGCGCGGCCGUCGCCUCCUCAGGGAAAGCUCUGAGGCAUGGAAGGGCCGCCGGGACCCGCCGGUGCAGGAGCCCGCGAGGGAAGCCGUGUGGGGCGGGGCGCAGGCCUAGGAGGCAGCAGUUGCACCCUGGGGUGAGGGGAAAGGAAGUAGCCAGAGUGAAGGCUUUGAGCGGGUGAUGUCUGUUCUUCGCCUGAAGUGCAGGACCCUUACCACUUCACCCCGAAUCUUCGCUGUUUUCUCCACCCUGAGCUUGCCCCAAAUCUAACCACAGGCAGACACACCCAUAUAAGGGCGGAACUUGGGCAAUCUUAAAAAGAAGUCAUUAAAAAUAAACUCCCUGGGCUUUUAUAGCAGCCUUUUUGUAAAUUAUUUUUAUUCAACAGAGAUAGGGGCCUGCUUUAGAAAGUAGAUGGACAGUGUGCGUGUUGCAGUCUAUUUAAAUUAUGUAUUGGUAAGGUCAGCUCUCCAUGAACUUUGAAAUCAUGUAAUUGUUUCAAAAGCGAAACCAUUCACUUAAGACUUGUUUUAACCAACCUAUACCUCCAUCCCCACCCCGCGCCUUCCAGAGUAAUUAAAUGUAAAUAUAUAUAAAUGUAUACAGUAAGUCCCUGACUUAGGAGCUUUCGAGCUUCAAACUUUGACAGGUGCCAAGGGACCUCCGAUUACGAACAUUCAUAAAUGCAAACAAAUUGCGGAAGUAGCGCGUGUCCGCUGGACGUUGUCACAGUUGUGCCGCUUGUGCUUACUGCAUAGUGUGAUAGUGUAAUACUACUCAAACAUCGGGAUCUUUUUUCAAGAGUGUAGACAAUUGAAUCCAUCAAAACUCCUGUGUCGGCCAGGUGUGGUGGCACCUGCUUGUAACCCCAGCACUUUGGAGCCUGAGGCUGCGAAUUCAAGGCCUGCCUGGGCUACAUAGUUCAAAGGCAGCCUGCACUAUACAGUGAGACCCUGUCUCAAAAAAUAAACAAAAAACCCCUGUUUGAGCAGAAUUCUAUCUUGCCCUCCAUCUGCCAUUGCAGAUGGUCCUUCAGCUCCACCUUCUCCUCCCACCCUCCCUCUUCCAGUUAGUAAGGCUCUUCUUGUCAGUUGACCCCAUGUGCCAGUUGUAGUGUACCAUCAUUUUUUUUUGAGGCAAGACAUUUAUUUGUACCACCAUUUUAGGGUAACUAUAAAGUAAAAAUUGUUUGUUUAGAGUAUUUGUGUGUGAGUGUGUGUUUGGUGUUUUUAUGCUUUACAUUGUGUAUCUGUGUCAAAGGUAUAAGACUCACUUUGUCCAACUUAACAAAGGAAUACGACUUAGGAAGCGUCUCCCCAAACAGAACUUGUCCCUAAGUCGGAGACUAACUCUAUAUGCAUUUCUUUCAUUGAUGCGGUCAGGAAAAGUGUCCAAAAUGUGGAAAUGGGCAAGAGAGAUUACUGCGUGUCCUUUCAGUGGGGUGCUGGAUUGGGUGCUGUUUGUUAGAACUUCACGAGAUUAUCUGAUUCUAAAGUGUCUGUACCCUCGUGGACUUCCUAUUGACUAGGAAUGGCUUGACUGUCUCAUUUUCAUGAGCCUGAGGUACUCUGGUGUUGGACUUUUUGCUUGACAUUUGCAUGAACAGGAAUAGUUUACAUGUUUGAAGUUUAUGAAUUCUAUCAGUUAAAAAGUUGUGGUUUUCAAACUGAUGAAAGUAAGAGUCCCGUCUGUUAACAGCCUACUCCACCCGCACACAUCUACCCCUAGCUGAUGACAUCUGAGAACACUUGAAGGCCACUGUGAAAGGAGACCCAGCACUCCUCCUAGAAUGAAAUCAUCAUGUCAAGCAAUUUGGGUCCUGUCCUGGAGAAAUGUCCCUGCUGCUAUAUCUAGGAAGUCCACUGGAGCCCACUUCCGGACCCAGGAUCAGCUGAGCAGCUUCACAGCCACUCACUGCCCUGACGAGAAAGCAGCCAGACCUCAGAAGCAAAUCAGCAGGGCCAGCACCACUGUUGAGGAGGCCCAAAGGCUGUGAAGGCUGAGCUCCAGAUCCUCAUUGAUAAAAGCCAGCUGACAGCGAAGACCCCUUAUUAUCAGCGACCUCAGCCAACACACAACCUUCAAAACAUACUUUCUCCAGUUAUUUUGCAGUUUUAUUGGUUUCUUGCUAACCAUGUUGCUUGUAGCCCAUGUCUUCCUCUUUCCCCUCUCUUCUUCCUCCUUCUUUACCUUCUCUUGGUGGAUCUUCAUGUGUCUCUUGCAGAAAGCAUUCCUGGAUGGCAAACUUUUCGAAUCUUUGCAUGUGUGAAUACAUGUUAAUGUUGCUCUCACUUCAUUGUGGAUGAACUGGGUAUGGAAUCCUGGAUUCAGAAUAUUUAAGUGAUACUUCAUGAGGUAUAAAUUCUGAAUUCAGAAUAAUUUUCUGUCAGAAUUUGGUAAAACAUUUCCUUGAUAUUUGUACGACCUUGAAUUUGAUCCCCAUAGCUGCCAAAGAUAAAAAAUUGAAAAACUGAAAAAAGCCUUCUGUUCCCCUGGAUCCUCACACACACACACACCUUUUGGGAUUUCCCAGGAACCCAGACAUUUCCUGAGGAUACAGUGUUUCAUUAUUCCUUUUCAGCACUCAUGAGUCCCUUUCAAUUUGUAGACUUGAGCCUUUCUUCAGGAGAGAUUUAAAAAACACUUUUAAUAUUUCAUUCCUUCAAUUUUUUCUAUUUGUCCUUUCUGGAACUUUUGGUUGAAAAUUUAAAAAAAAACAAAAGAACAACUUGCCUGUAGCCUCCAUGACUCUUAGUAUUUUUCUUACUUGCUUCCUUUUCUUGCCUUUAUUCACAGAAUAUGGGAGAUUGCCCUAACUCAAUUUUGUGAACUUCCUCUUUGCAAAUUUGAUCUCCAUCCAUGCCCAUUUUGCUCUACUUCAGCCAUCUGUUGCAAGAUUUUUUUUUUUAUAUCAGCAGUCAUCCUUCUAAUUCCCAAGAACCCUACUUCUUUUUAUAGGGUGGGUCUUAUUUCUGUACUGGUGAUAACUUUGGUCCCAUCAGGAGGUUGUACACUUACUUGUUACAUUUAAUGAUUCUGCAGGUGGCUUUCCCUAAUUGCAUAAUUUUUUGUUUUUUGUUUUUUGUUUUGUAUUGGGGAUCAAACUCAGGACCUUUUGCUUUCAAGGCAGGUGGUGGCACCACUGAGCUAAAUCCCCGGCCUGCUGUUUGUUUGUUUUUUAAUUGCUUGGUUUUUGUUGUUGUUGUUUGGGUUUUGUUUUUUGAGACAGGGUCUCAUCAUGUAGUUCAGGCCAACCUCAAACUCACUAUGUGCCCCAGGCUGGCUUCGAAGUCUUGGUGAUCCACCUGCCUCAGCCUCCUGAGUGCUGAGAUUACAGGGAUCUGCCACCAAGUCCAGUGCAAUUGCAUGAUUUUUGACUGUCCUCAUUUCUGCUUAAGGGUCUUGGCCCUUUGACAUUAAGAGUUGAGACAUGUGUCUCCAGCCCGGGUGAGAUUCCCUGCUGUGUUAGGAAUAAAUGAAGAUUUGGGUACAGAGGUUCCAGCUCCAAGGACUGUGCAGAGCAGGAGGCAAAGGUGGGAGGUAAGGAAAGUAGUGCCUGGAACCUCUCUCUUGGCUACCACAGCAAACCUGGGACAGUGGCCACUUUCUCUGGUUCCGAUGCCUUCUCUGGGAGCCUCUUCUUUCAUGAUUUGCAUCUUAAUUUGGUAGGUAGUAAGCUUCACUUAAAAGUUUCACUUCAGGGGCAAAAGUAGAAAUCAGCUACUUUUUUGUUUGUUUAGUGCUGAGUAUUGAACCCAAGACCUUAUGCACGCUAAGCCUGUGCUCUACCACUGAACCACAACCCCUCAGCUCCAGCUUUGAGCUGCUUCUAAAACAGCCAAGAAUGAUGCAGAUGGGAGAAGAUAUUUGUGGCUCCUGCUCAUGAUUGUUUCAGUUUCUUUUUACUGGCCUCUCUGGAUUUCUAAGAGAGUUUACUUCUCCAGGGACCCUCUUUUUCUACUUUUAUGUAGGUGUUUAGGCACCUUGGCUCUGUGUGGUUUUGUUUUUGUUUUUGUUUUUUGUUUUGGGGGGCUCUGUGUGUUUUAUCAAUCUGCUUCAUAUCUUUCAUUAAUCAGUCCUUUUUAAAAAAAUAAGUCAGGGCCGGGGAUUUAGCUCAGUGGUUCCACUGCUUGCCUCGAAAGCACAAGGACCUGAGUUCAAUCCCCGGUACCAAUAAAUAAAUAAAUAAAUAAAUAAAAUUUAAAAAGGUCAGUCCUAUUUUGGUGCUCUGACAAUAACUGGCCUGGAUUUCCAGUGUUGCUUUCAAGUGAAUCACUUCUAGGGAUUGGUUUGUUUGGUUUGAGGUGUAACUGCAAAGUAGAAAAAGCAUGCUCAAACUCAAUUUCUCCUAUGAUAUACUCUUCACAGACCACUUCUGUGAGCCUGAAAAGUGUGGGGAUUUCUCCUCACCAGCAACCAAGCAAUCAGUUCUGCAGCAAACACUAGACUGGUGUUCUCUAGCCCAAUUCAGUUCUGACACUACUUGGAGUUUUACUGGAGGUAGAGUCAAAUUCCACAGAUCGAGGACUCAGUCCCCAUGUCUGCUCCUAUUUCAGACCCAGUCAGAAAUCUAGGCCUCUGGAAUUUCUGGCCAAUUAGCUUUAAACUGGAGUUCUCACCAAUUUGAUUAAUUUGCUAGAGCAGCUCAGAGUGGUUUAUUGUAAAGGAUUUUUUUUUUCCUCUUGUGUUGCUGGAGAUUGAACCCAGGGCCUUCACACUGAGCUAUAUUCCCAGCAUUUAAAAAACAAAAUUUGAGGCCUCUCUAAGCUGCUUUUCUUUGGGAGUGCCGUCUGGCCAGACUAAGGUCUGUUUUACUUUCCAACUUGUCUGGUGUGUUCCUUCCCGGGUGUUCUUCGCUGCAGUCAGCUCCUUGGAGCGUUUGGUAA